rnacentral:lncRNA from 1 species
GAGAGAGAGAGAGAGAGAGAGAAAUAAUUUAUAAGUAUAUCUCACUUACAUAUGUGGCUGAGUUUGAAAUCUUGUAGUUGUAGUUUUGCUCUUUUGCGUACAAAUUUGUAAUUUGCAAUACAUGAGAUGGGAAUUAGCGGAGAUAUUUUGAGGGGAGUUGUUGUAAUUAAAUUUAGGGUUGAUGUUGAUUCAAAAGCAGAAAUUAAAAAAAUAUUAAAAUAGAGCUUUUUUUUAAAAAGAAAAAUUAAAUUUUUUAAAGUUGUUUUUAGCUAAUUAACAGAAACAGUAGCAAAAUUGUAAAAAAUAUUCUAACAUAACUUUCAAGACAAAAAAUAUUAAAAAAAAACAUAAAUUAUAAUUAUAAAUUGCACCAAACACCCUCUUUGUAAUGUCACAACAUUGUUAUUUUAAAUCAAACCUCAAGGAUCGCAAUGCUUGAUAUCUUAAUAGAGUCCAAUGAAUCCCAAUCGCAUUAAUA